rnacentral:misc_RNA from 1 species
GUGUAUUAUCAAAGAAGAUUCAACAUUCAAAUGACAUUCCAUGGAGCAAAUGACUAAAAACAUAGGUUUGGAACACAGGCCAAAACCUACAGAGGGUGCACAUGGUUUGUAAAAGGUGGUCAAAAGAAUAUUCGAAGAGUGCACCUGCCCAUCUCGAAAGACAAGGCCAGCAACAUCCUCAAAGUUUAUUCAUUAAUGAUCCUUCCGCAGGUUCACCUACGGAAA